rnacentral:rRNA from 1 species
AUUGAACGCUGGCGGCAGGCUUAACACAUGCAAGUCGAGCGGGGUGAUGGUGCUUGCACUAUCACUUAGCGGCGGACGGGUGAGUAAUGCUUAGGAAUCUGCCUAUUAGUGGGGGACAACAUCUCGAAAGGGAUGCUAAUACCGCAUACGUCCUACGGGAGAAAGCAGGGGAUCACUUGUGACCUUGCGCUAAUAGAUGAGCCUAAGUCGGAUUAGCUAGUUGGUGGGGUAAAGGCCUACCAAGGCGACGAUCUGUAGCGGGUCAGAGAGGAUGAUCCGGCACACUGGGACGUAGACACGGCUCAGAAUCCGACGGGAGGCAGCAGUGGGGAAUAUUGGACAAUGGGGGGAACCCUGAUCCAGCCAUGCCGCGUGUGUGAAGAAGGCCUUAUGGUUGUAAAGCACUUUAAGCGAGGAGGAGGCUCUUUUGGUUAAUACCCAAGAUGAGUGGACGUUACUCGCAGAAUAAGCACCGGCUAACUCUGUGCCAGCAGCCGCCGUAA